rnacentral:rRNA from 1 species
GCAUAUCAAUAAGCGGAGGAAAAGAAACCAACCGGGAUUGCCUCAGUAACGGCGAGUGAAGCGGCAAGAGCUCAAAUUUGAAAGCUGGCUCCUUCGGGGUCCGCAUUGUAAUUUGCAGAGGAUGCUUCGGGUGCGGCCCCUGUCUAAGUGCCCUGGAACGGGCCGUCAGAGAGGGUGAGAAUCCCGUCUGGGAUGGGGUGUCCGCGCCCGUGUGAAGCUCCUUCGACGAGUCGAGUUGUUUGGGAAUGCAGCUCUAAAUGGGUGGUAAAUUUCAUCUAAAGCUAAAUACUGGCCGGAGACCGAUAGCGCACAAGUAGAGUGAUCGAAAGAUGAAAAGCACUUUGAAAAGAGAGUUAAAAAGCACGUGAAAUUGUUGAAAGGGAAGCGCUUGCGACCAGACUCGCCUCCAGGGUUCAGCCGGCAUUCGUGCCGGUGUACUUCCCUGGGGGCGGGCCAGCGUCGGUUUGGGCGGCCGGUCAAAGGCUCCCGGAAUGUAGUGCCCUCCGGGGCACCUUAUAGCCGGGAGUGCAAUGCGGCCAGCCUGGACCGAGGAACGCGCUUCGGCACGGACGCUGGCAUAAUGGUCGUAAACGACCCGUCUUGAAACACGGACCAAGGAGUCUAACAUCUACGCGAGUGUUCGGGUGUCAAACCCGUACGCGCAGUGAAAGCGAACGGAGGUGGGAGCCCCCUCGUGGGGCGCACCAUCGACCGAUCCUGAAGUCUUCGGAUGGAUUUGAGUAAGAGCGUAAAUGUGGGGACCCGAAAGAUGGUGAACUAUGCCUGAAUAGGGCGAAGCCAGAGGAAACUCUGGUGGAGGCUCGCAGCGGUUCUGACGUGCAAAUCGAUCGUCAAAUUUGGGUAUAGGGGCGAAAGACUAAUCGAACCAUCUAGUAGCUGGUUCCUGCCG